UAAGGGGAGUGCGCGGUCUCUUGCAGCCGCCGCCGCCGAGUGAGUGAGGGAGUGAGAUCGUCAUCCGGCAGUACAAUGGCAUCAUAUAGUGGACAUGGGAAUCGAUUCCUGAGACGAGCUGCAGUACUUAUGGAGGGAGACUGAAUUCUAUACAUGUCCAAUGUGGCUGAAGAUUGCAAGUCGAGACUGUGAGAACAGACGUAUUUCAGGAGAGAAAAUUUGGCAAAGGUAGCUGAGAUCUUAUGUGUUGCACAGUACCAAAGAUGUGUCUAUCUUCAACUGGGGAAUCGGCUGAAAGCCAGGAAUGCAGGGCGAUGCAGUGCAAAGAGGUUCCCUGGUACAGCAGCAAGAAGGCCAACAAGACGUUUCACUUGU